UGGAGUAACGAACAUCCAGGGUGAU
rnacentral:piRNA from 1 species